rnacentral:rRNA from 1 species
CCUACGGGAGGCUGCAGUGAGGAAUAUUGGUCAAUGGGCGCAAGCCUGAACCAGCCAAGUCGCGUGAGGGAUGACGGUCCUAUGGAUUGUAAACCUCUUUUGUCGGGGAGCAAGGCCCGCCACGUGUGGCGGGAAGGAGAGUACCCGAAGAAAAAGCAUCGGCUAACUCCGUGCCAGCAGCCGCGGUAAAACGGAGGAUGCGAGCGUUAUCCGGAUUUAUUGGGUUUAAAGGGUGCGUAGGCGGAAGGUUAAGUCAGCGGUAAAAUGUCGGUGCUCAACACCGGCCUGCCGUUGAAACUGGUCUUCUUGAGUGAGCGAGAAGUAUGCGGAAUGCGUGGUGUAGCGGUGAAAUGCAUAGAUAUCACGCAGAACUCCGAUUGCGAAGGCAGCAUACCGGCGCUCAACUGACGCUGAGGCACGAAAGCGUGGGGAUCGAACAGGAUUAGAUACCCCUGUAGUC